GGGGGUGUAGCUCAUCUGAUAGAGCGCCUGCUUUGCAUUCGAGUUUUUCAGCCCUCCGAAAGCUGGUUCCGCACCCCUCAUGCACUUGCAGGAGGCACAGGGUUCGACUCCCUGCUCCUCCA